UACGUAGGGGGCAAGCGUUGUCCGGAUUUAUUGGGAGUAAAGUGGUCGUAGGUGGUAUGAUGAGUUGUGCGUGAAAGACCCCGGCUCAACUGGGGGAUGUCGUGCGAUACGGGCGGACUGGAGGCCAGUAGGGGGAUGCGGAAUUCCGGGUGUAGUGGUGGAAUGCGUAGAGAUCCGGAGGAACACCAGCGGCGAAGGCGGCAUCCUGGACUGGUCCUGACACUCAGGAGCGAAAGCGUGGGGAGCGAUCCGG
rnacentral:rRNA from 1 species